rnacentral:rRNA from 1 species
AGCUCCAAAAGCAUAUAUUAAAGUUGUUGCGGUUAAAAAGCUCGUAGUUGGACUUCUGCUUUGGUUGGUUGGUCUACCCACUGGGUAAGUAUCUGGCAUGACUGAAGCAUGUGUUUCAAAUAUACUACUGCACUUGACUGUGUGGUGUGGUAUUUAUCGCUUUUACUUUGAGAAAAACAGAGUGUUCCACGCAGGCGGAUGUUCAAUAUGUGAGCAUGGAAUAAUGAGUCAAGGCUUUGGUUAGUUGUUGGUUCAAAACAUUGGGUGAUGAUGAAUAGGGAUAGUUGGGGGCACUUGUAUUUAAUUGUCAGAGGUGAAAUUCUUGGAUUUGUUAAAGACAAACCACUGCGAAAGCAUUUGCCAAGGAUGUUUUCA